rnacentral:rRNA from 1 species
UACGUAGGGUGCAAGCGUUGUCCGGAAUUAUUGGGCGUAAAGGGCGCGUAGGCGGCCCGCACAAGUCUGCGGUGAAAACCCCCGGCUUAACCGGGGGCCGGCCGUGGAAACUGUCGGGCUGGAGGCUGGGAGAGGGCAGCGGAAUUCCCGGUGUAGCGGUGAAAUGCGUAGAGAUCGGGAGGAACACCGGCGGCGAAGGCGGCUGCCUGGACCAGUCCUGACGCUGAGGCGCGAAAGCUAGGGGAGCAAACAGG